CUCGAUGGUGUGCGUCGCGGUCUUACUCCAAAUCCAGACGUCCUCUGUAAUCGCGACAUCAAGUUCGAUUCUUUCA
rnacentral:tRNA from 14 species